GAUGAAGAACGCAGCGCAAUGCGAUACGUAAUGUGAAUUGCAGAAUUCAGUGAAUCAUCGAGUCUUUGAACGCACAUUGCGCCCCCUGGUAUUCCGGGGGGCAUGCCUGUCCGAGCGUCAUUGCUGCCCUCAAGCACGGCUUGUGUGUUGGGCCUCCGUCCUCCUCCCGGGGGACGGGCCCGAAAGGCAGCGGCGGCACCGCGUCCGGUCCUCGAGCGUAUGGGGCUUCGUCACCCGCUCUUGUAGGCCCGGCCGGCGCUUGCCGACACAUCAAUCUUUUUUCCAGGUUGACCUCGGAUCAGGUAGGGAUACCCGCUGAACUUAAGCAUAUCAAUAAGCGGAGGA
rnacentral:misc_RNA from 1 species